UAGGGAAUCUUCCGCAAUGGGCGAAAGCUUGACGGAGCAACGCCGCGUGAGUGAUGAAGGUCUUCGGAUCGUAAAACUCUGUUAUUAGGGAAGAACAAAUGUGUAAGUAACUAUGCACGUCUUGACGGUACCUAAUCAGAAAGCCACGGCUAACUACGUGCCAGCAGCCGCGGUAAUACGUAGGUGGCAAGCGUUAUCCGGAAUUAUUGGGCGUAAAGCGCGCGUAGGCGGUUUUUUAAGUCUGAUGUGAAAGCCCACGGCUCAACCGUGGAGGGUCAUUGGAAACUGGAAAACUUGAGUGCAGAAGAGGAAAGUGGAAGUCCAUGUGUAGCGGUGAAAUGCGCAGAGAUAUGGAGGAACACCAGUGGCGAAGGCGACUUUCUGGUCUGUAACUGACGCUGAUGUGCGAAAGCGUGGGGAUCAAACAGG
rnacentral:rRNA from 1 species